CAGAAAUGCAUUUCAAAAACUAAAGAUGCACAGUAAUGCCACAGCCUAAAUUUGAAAAAAAGUCCCUGGUUCCUCUUUUUGAGAGGGAGACUAAAGGUUUCUUUCUGGACUCUUCAAGCAAAAUAAACAAAAUACUCACUUCGAUCUUCUGACACACACUGAAGUGUGUCUGUGGCAGNNNNNNNNNNNNNNNNNNGCUGCGAUGAGUUAUUUCCAGAUGGUGUGUGUGGAGAAUGCUGCAUUCAGACAGCCUGCUAUUGGUGUCCUGGUCUGCUGUCACGUGCCUGUUCUUUGGAGAUCAGGAAGGAGUACAGUUGGGGCUGAAUGUGUUCUUUUUAAAAAAUCUUCAGUAAUAAAAACAGCGCAUGAAAAAGCAAAGUGUCUUUGAAGAACUAACAGCUGAACUUCAAGCAGAAGUGGUGUAGUCAUACUGAAGACAGACUAAUGAACACCAGUAGCAGGGUGAAUUUGUGCCUUUCUUUGGUCAGGAUCCUUCCCUGAGUCAUCAGCUGGAGCUCCUUCCUGGAAACUCUGUUGCAACAUUACACAAGGAAUGGGUCAGGAUUGGAUUGCUUCUGUCAGAGACAAUGUGUCUUCUCCCAUGCAAAGGAGACCCCCACUGCUCAUGGCGGGACUGUGUGUUGAUAAGUCAGGAAUGAAAUGAAUAUGUAUGUGAAUUCCACUGAUUGUGUGUUCGUUCGGCCUAUAUCUGUACCAAGCUUCUUCCUUAUGGUGUGCAAGUUCGGAGGAGCUAUCCCCCUUGCACCCAGCUUGGCGCCAAAUGCUGAAUAAAACAUACCUG
rnacentral:lncRNA from 1 species